rnacentral:misc_RNA from 1 species
GAUGAGAACGCAGCGAAAUGCGAAAAGUAAUGUGAAUUGCAGAAUUCAGUGAAUCAUCGAAUCUUUGAACGCACAUUGCGCCCGCUGGUACUCCGGCGGGCACGCCUGUCCGAGCGUCAUUUCAACCCUCAAGCCCUCCUUCGGGAUGGGCCUGGUGUUGGGGCUCGGCCGCCAUCUCCGGCGGCCGUCCCCUAAAUACAGUGGCGGUCACGUCGCGACUCCUUUGCGUAGUAGAAACACCUCGCUCCGGAUAGCAACGCGGUCCACGCCGUAAAACCCCCAAUUUUCAAUGGUUGACCUCGGAUCAGGUGGGAAUACCCGCUGAACUUAAGCAUAUCAAUAAGCGGAGGA